rnacentral:rRNA from 1 species
AUUGAACGCUGGCGGCAUGCUUUACACAUGCAAGUCGAACGGCAGCGCGGGCUUCGGCCUGGCGGCGAGUGGCGAACGGGUGAGUAAUGCAACGGCACGUGCCCCGUAGUGGGGGCUAGGGCGGCGACAUCCGGAUUAAUACCGCAUACGACCUGAUGGUGCUAGCGGGGGACCGAAAGGCCUCGCGCUCUUGGACCGGCCGUUGUCGGAUUCGCUGGUUGGUGGGGUGAAGGCUUACCAAGGCGACGAUCCGGAGCUGGUGUGAGAGGGCGACCAGCCACACUGGGACUGAGACACGGCCCAGAACCCUACGGGAGGCAGCAGUGGGGAAUUUUGGACGAUGGGGGCAAACCGGAUCCAGCCAUGUCGCGUGAGGGAAGAAGGCCGUCGGGUUGUAAACCGUUGUUGUUCUGGAAGAAAUCCUCUGGGCUAAUACCCCGGGGGGAUGACGGGACCGGAAUAAUAAGCACCGGCUAACUACGUG